UACGGGGGGGGCAAGCGUUGUUCGGAAUUACUGGGCGUAAAGGGCUCGUAGGUGGCCAACUAAGUCGGACGUGAAAUCCCUCGGCUUAACCGGGGAACUGCGUCUGAUACUGGAUGGCUUGAGUUCGGGAGAGGGAUGCGGAAUUCCAGGUGUAGCGGUGAAAUGUGUAGAUAUCUGGAGGAACACCGGUGGCGAAGGCGGCAUCCUGGACCGACACUGACGCUGAGGAGCGAAAGCCAGGGGAGCAAACGGG
rnacentral:rRNA from 1 species